UUCCAUCUAAAGCUAAAUACAGGCCGGAGACCGAUAGCGCACAAGUAGAGUGAUCGAAAGAUGAAAAGCACCUUGAAAAGGGGGUCAAACAGCACGUGAAAUUGUGAGAGGGAAGCGCUGGCCCCCAGACCUGCCCCGGGGGGGUCCCCCGGAGCCUUCGGGCGCCCGGGGCUUAUCGCCCGCGUACAGGCCAGCACGGGUUCCGGCGGCGGGAUAAAGCGCCCGGGAAUGUAACUCCCUCCGUGGAGCCUUAUAGCCCAGGCGGUCAUGCUGCCCGCCGGGACCGAGGACCGCGCCCCGGCGAGGGUGCUGGCGUAAUGGGGGUCAGCGACCCGUCUUGAAACACGGACCAAGGAGUCUAACGUCCCCGCGAGUGUUCGGGCGUCAAACCCCCGGCGCGGAAUGAAAGUGAACGGAGGUGGGACCCCCGCGAGGGGCGCACCAUCGACCGAUCCAGAUGUCUUCGGAUGGAUUUGAGUACGAGCGCGGCCGUUGGGACCCGAAAGAUGGUGAACUAUGCCUGGGUAGGGUGAAGCCAGAGGAAACUCUGGUGGAGGCUCGCAGCGGUUCUGACGUGCAAAUCGAUCGUCAAACCUGGGCAUAGGGGCGAAAGACUAAUCGAACCAUCUAGUAGCUGGUUCCUGUCGAAGUUUCCCUCAGGAUAGCAGUCGCGCGGGCGGUUUUAUGAGGUAAAGCGAAUGAUUAGAGGCCUUGGGGGUGCAACACCCUUAACCUAUUCUCAAACUUUAAAUAUGUAAGAAGCCCCUGUUGCUUCGGUGAACGGGGGCGUGCGAACGCGGCGCGGCUAGUGGGCCAUUUUUGGUAAGCAGAACUGGCGAUGCGGGAUGAACCGAACGCGGGGUUAAGGUGCCGGAAUGCACGCUCAUCAGACACCACAAAAGAUGUCAAUUCAUCCGGACAGCCGGACGGUGGCCAUGGAAGCCGGAACCCGCCAAGGAGUGCGUAACAGCUCACCGGCCGAAUGAAUUGGCUCUGAAAAUGGAUGGCGCUCAAGCGUGCUACCC
rnacentral:rRNA from 1 species